rnacentral:rRNA from 1 species
GAGGAAUAUUGGUCAAUGGACGAAAGUCUGAACCAGCCAAGUAGCGUGCAGGAUGACGGCCCUCUGGGUUGUAAACUGCUUUUAGUUGGGAAUAAAAAAGAGGACGUGUCCUCUAUUGUAUGUACCUUCAGAAAAAGGACCGGCUAAUUCCGUGCCAGCAGCCGCGGUAAUACGGAAGGUCCAGGCGUUAUCCGGAUUUAUUGGGUUUAAAGGGAGCGUAGGCGGAUUAUUAAGUCAGUGGUGAAAGACGGUGGCUCAACCAUCGUUAGCCAUUGAAACUGGUAGUCUUGAGUGCAGACAGGGAUGCUGGAACUCGUGGUGUAGCGGUGAAAUGCUUAGAUAUCACGAUGAACUCCGAUCGCGAAGGCAGGUGUCCGGGCUGCAACUGACGCUGAGGCUCGAAAGUGUGGGUAUCAAACAGGAUUAGAUACCCUGGUAGCCCACACAGUAAACGAUGUAUACUCGCGGUUUGCGAUAUAUUGUAAGCCGCCAAGCGAAAGCAUUAAGUAUACCACCUGGGGAGUACGCCGGCAACGGUG